rnacentral:rRNA from 1 species
UAUCUCUGUAGAGUCUGCAUAUCAAUAAGCGGAGGAAAAGAAACUAACUAAGGAUUCCCUCAGUAACGGCGAGUGAAGCGGGAAGAGCUCAAAUUUGAAAUCUUCAAGGUUUUACCUUGACGAAUUGUAGUUUAAAGAAGUGUUUUCUGUUGGAGUUUUGGUAAAAGUUCUUUGGAAUAGGACAUCAUAGAGGGUGAGAAUCCCGUAUUUGACCAUUAUUUCCAGCUUUGUGAUACACUUUCAAAGAGUCGGAUUGUUUGGGUAUGCAGUCCAAAAUGGGUGGUAAAUUUCAUCUAAAGCUAAAUACUUGGCGAGAGACCGAUAGCGAACAAGUACCGUGAGGGAAAGAUGAAAAGAACUUUGAAAAGAGAGUUAAACAGUACGUGAAAUUGUCAAAAGGGAAGCGUUUGACACCAGUGUUGUUUCUACGAAAAUCAAUUUAUGAUGGCUUGAUGCUAAGCUUUAAGACUUUAUCCGCUUGUUGUUUAGUUUUCUUGUCUUUGUGAAUGCACUUUUCGUGGAACAAGUCAACAUCAAUUUCUUUUGCUGUAAAAGGGUAAGAGGAAGGUGGCUUCGGCUUCGGUUGAAGUGUUUAUAGCCUUUUAUCUCUGCAGUCGGAGAGAUUGAGGUCUGCAGCGUAGACUCUUCGGGGUUAGAUACGUCGGUGCUAAGCUAUAGCUUUUCAUAGACAACUUGUUGACUAUGUUUAGUCAUGUGGCUUACCCGCUGGCGCUAUUUUACCUACGCUUAGGAUGUUGAGUCAUCACACAUCUCU